ensembl:lncRNA
GUAGUUCUGGGCGCGAAGUGGCCUUCAACCCUGUGGUGGUCGGCUGAGCGGCUAUGGCUGAAACCGCGAGAUCCUUAAACCAGUGCCGCUCAAAGGAUGGUCUAUAACUGAGAUUAGUCCAUAAACUAUUUGUUUCUGGUCCAGAUGAGGAUCUUUGCAGGUCAAGACUGAGGUAAAGCACACUGGAUUAGGGGUGGGGCUGAAUCCAGAAGACACACGGACACACACAGCCCUACAGAGAAGAAGGCAAUGUGAAUUUGGAGGCAGAGAUUGGAGUGACGAGCCACUGGAAGCUGGAGGAAGCUCAGAAGGGUUCUCCCCUUGAGCCUGCAGAGAGCACGGCC